AUGCUUCUCCUAAAGACUAAGCCAUGCAUGCUCUGAAUAUGAGGAAGCAAUUCUCUCUGAAUCUGCGAACGGCUCCGCAAACCAGUUGUAAACCAUAGCAGCGUUCCGCCCGGCUUCAGCAAUGGAGCCGGGCAUUAUAUGGAUAACCGUGGUAAUUCUGAGGUCUAAUACAUGACACACCAACCUGCCGGCUGGGGCAACUCGGCUAGGUGGGGGACGUGCAAACUCCCAUUGCUAUAACAAACCACGAAUGAAUG
rnacentral:rRNA from 1 species